AUUUAAAUAGCUUAUAUAAAGAGUAUAAUAUUGAAGAUAUUAAGGAGAUUUUUUUUAUCUUUAAAUA
rnacentral:tRNA from 1 species